UUGAAAAUCUGAUUGCAACUUCCAGAACCUCCAAAUUCUCAAAAUUCUCUACUCCUAUAUCCACCGCCGUAUAUGCAAUUCAUCCCCUCUUCCAUCGAAUGAAUUUCAUAACCCGCACUUUAUCUUAUCUUACCCAUAGAUUAAUCGUCCGCUUCUUCGCUACUCCUUUCUUGUUUCGAAAUUUCGACUCACAACCCUUUUCUAUUCCUCCGAGAUCCUAAAUUUCUGAAACCCUAAGUUCUCAGAGGUGACAGCGAUGGAAUUUUCUGCAACUGACGAAGGUACCAGUGUGUAAUGUCAAAAAAACCCUUUCCCGUUUCUCAGAACCCUCUAAUAUUCUUUCAAGAACCCUUCAAAGUUCAAGAAAUCGAAUGUCUCCAGAACCCUAGAUUUCUCACGAACCCUUCAAAGUUCAAGAAAUCGUAAAGUUCAAGCUGAAAUGUCCAUUGCUACUCAACAGAUAAGAAAGCAAAGGAGUUGGAUCAAGAAACCAACCACGCAAUUAAUUAGCAAGGAAAUGUUCACUGAUUUGGGGCAUGUGUCUGCACUUAUUCUGGUGGGAUUGGUUCGCAUGCUCUCCUUACCAUGCGCAUGGCGAUGUUACGGAUAAACGAAAUUCAUCAUGCAUCAACAAAUUGGUAUUCAACGGUUCUGAUGUAGGGAUGUAUUUGGGUGAGUUCGAUGCACCAUGGGAAGAGCUCGGCGAGCAGUUGUAGUGUUGAAGUAGAAUCUCCAAUUUGGAGAUGAUUCUGCGAAAGCAACGUUGUUGCGAGCGUGCAUUUUCUCCCAUCGAUCCCAUCGAUCUUUUUCGGUGAUGAUGUACUCUGCCAUGAUGAAUAAUGAUGACAUCGAUUAAGACCUUCAAGAUUUGGAAGCACAAGAUGAACUGUGUUAUAUUGAUCAAGGAAGCAGUGGCUAAGCGGCCUCAACUGUGGCCGUUGUGUUUGAUUUUGAAAGUAUUUUUACCAUAGAGAACUUAACGAGGUAUAUUCUGGUGGGAUUGGUUCAUAAGCAAUUCUUAAACGUGCUUAUGCAGUUCGUUUUUUUACUCUCCGGCCUUCACCAUAUGGUCCACUUACAUAUGAUCCACCUACAUAUCAACAAAAAUGGAACUUAAAGUUCACUUUUUUGUUUCCUUUUGGUUUUAUGCUGUAAUCUUUGGCAUUGCAUUAAGUUCAAAACAUUUCUUUUUCACUUAUGCCAUCUCUAAGUUUGUGACCAUUAUAUUCUUUAGAAUGUUCGUCAGGCCAACCUCCCGCAGAGCACAACUUAGGGGUCUUUUUGGUUUUACAACAAAACAAGGCCAUUUCUUCUCGGCAUUCAGGAUCCUCAGGUUGAAAUUUUUGGGUCUUUCAGGACAGGACUGUACCUUCUUACUAGUGAUAUUGAUUGAUUCAUAAAUCAGGCAUACCGAAUCCGCAGAUUGGUUUGAAUGCAAUUUCUAGAUCAUUGUCACAGAAAUAUGGCAAAAAAGAUACAGGUCAUUGGAAAGCCUCAUGUGCCAAUUAUUAAAUUCGGUGGAAAGAAGAUUGGUCUUUCCUUUGAUAUAAGUUCUGACAUAGAGAAUGGACCUAAAGCUGCCGAGUAUAUUCAGGAAGCAGUGGCUAAGUGGCCUUAACUGCGGCCGUUGUGUUUGAUUUUGAAAGAAUUUUUACAACAAAGAUAACUUAAUGAGUAUGCAGGUAUAUUCUGGUUGGAUUGGUUUGUAUGCUCUCCUUACCAUGCUCAUGGUGAUGUUAAGGGUGAACAAUUCUUAAACGUGCUUAUGCAGUUCCUUUUUUUACUCUCUGACCUUCACCAUAUGGUCCACUUAAAGUUCACUUUUUUCAUUUCUUUUGCUUUUGUGCCGUAAUCUUUGGCAUUGCAUUAAGUUCAA